UUUUUUUACAGUAAGAACUAGAAGGAUAUGGAAUUCUCUGCCUGAAGAGGUGGUUUUAUCAGAGUCCAUACAGAUGUUUAAACAGCAAUUGGAUAAAUACUUCCAAAAACAUCACAUACAGGGAUAUCAUUUCUAAUUAUUGUGGUAAUAACUGCUUGAUCCAAGGAGACAUCUGACUGCCAUUUUGGGUUCAAGUAAUACAAAC